UAUAACCUGCCAGACAGGGAAACUGCGUACGGCUCAUUACACCAGCCUUAAUUUACUUGACCUUGACAACCUACUUGGAUAACUGUGGUAAUUCUAGAGCUAAUACAUGCACCAAAGCUCCGAUCCUCGCGGAGAGGAGCGCAUUUGUUCGCCACAAAACCAAGCGCCCAUCUGGGCGUCCAGUGCUGAACCAGAACAACUCAGCUGAUCGCACGGUCUUGUACCGGCGACGUGUCUUUCAAGUGUCUGCCUUAUCAACUUUCGAUGGUAGUGUACCUGACUACCAUGGUUGUGACGGGUAACGGAGGAUAAGGGUUCGACUCCGGAGAAGGGGCCUGAGAAAUGGCCACUACGUCUAAGGAUGGCAGCAGGCGCGCAAAUUACCCACUCUCAACGCGAGGAGGUAGUGACGAGAAAUAACGAGACCGUUCUCAUACGAGGCCGGUUAUUGGAAUGGGUACAAUUUAAA
rnacentral:rRNA from 1 species